AUGGUCUCGCGAACAAUGGCUUCGGGGUCAGCAGGGUACGGAGAAAGGAGUCACCCGACGAGCAGCCUCCCUGCGAUGGAGCGCCGGGCUGCCGCGAAGUCGAUGAUGACCGAGAUGCGUUUGGUCUGGAGCAGCGGAUUGUUUCCGUCUUUGGAAGCCAGCCGGUACGGGCCGUUUUCAGGGUUCGAGACGCGCUCCGCAGCAGAGAUCGAAGAACCCUACUUUAUGGCCAAGGCGCAGCAGCCACCGUGGGUGGUACAAUUCAACGGCACGAGCAAACCCGUCGUCGUCGCGCCGUUCGACGGAUGCCGCCGCUGGGAGGAGACGCCGGACAUGCCGGCGCUGCAAGGGAAAAUAUGCCUCGGCCUGGACGGGGACUGGUCGCUCAUGCUCGACGAGGUUACCAGCGGGUGCUCCCUCGUGAGCUUCGCUAAUAUGUCGCGCUCGUCCCCCACUGUGAUCGAUCUUCCGCCGUUGCCCGAGGACGCGCGGAAGCCGCACCUACUGUUCGGCUGCGCGCUCUCGUCGCAGACCCCAUCCGAUUGCACCGUUGUGCUUAGCUUCAUCAGGGAGAGGUUCCUCCUCCACUGCCGCCCCGGUGACGCAGGGUGGUCCAGACUCCCGGCGGAGCUUGUUGAGAAGAACGACCAGUUCGACGGUCCCAUAACCCCUGGCAGCCAGGGGAAGGUGUACGCAACGACCAUGGCGUCCUUGGUGGUUGUCGAUGCGUCAGGCCCGGCGCCGGUGGUUGAGAGGGCGGACAUGACGCGUCCGCCGCCGUGCCCAGUGCACAAUGGAUACAAGUGCUACCCGGUGCCAUGUCCCAGUGGCGAGCUCUUCUUGGUGCGCUGCUGCCUCUAUGGGUGCCCGGUGGAGGUGGUGGAUGUGAAGGAACUCAGCCCAACUGUAUCCAUGUGCUACGCGAGCUUCGGUCUGGAAGCAGCACGAACCAUCGACACUUCUGAUGAUGUCUCCAAUGAAGUGAUGCAAACAAGAAUUGAACAUUGUUGUGGAGAGCAACAAAAAGAGCACACGGGGAUGAGCGCUACGGCCUCUCGAGAUGAGAGGCAGUGGCGCGAUCUCCAUACCGACUUAUUGCAGUUACUAGUACCCAAGAUUUCAUUCAUCGAUUUCCUACACUUGAAAGCUGUCUGCAAGCAGUGGAACUCCAUUAAGAGCCCGAUCCAAAAUGCAAAAGUGUCGCCAUUGCUCAUGACAACUCGGCCAGCAGGAAGGACCAAGGAGGAUCUUGUCGAGAUCUUCGAUCCAGUGGGCGAAAAGAAGUAUAGUAUCAGGUUAAAUAUCCCUACUUCAGGUCUCAAAUUUCAAGGAUCGCAGUUACUGCAUUUCACAAAGAACGGUUGGGUCAUCGUAUCGAGAGGCGGCGACCACAUGUUCUUCCUAGUGAAUCCGUUCAAGAACUACCCUAAUGGUGGCCAUGUGAUCGCUCUUCCACCUUUGGAUAUCCUUGGUCUCAAAGGAUUGUCAUUUUCUUCGGUGCCGGGUUCUCCAGACUUCAUGGUCCUUGCCGCAGGAUCUACACCGAACGGCGAAGUUGUCACGAUAAAUACAUGGCGAAUGGGAGAUGAAGAUUGGAAGGAUGAAUCCGCAGGCCACGACGAUGUGACCUUCUUCAUGGCAUCUCACAGUCCCGUCUUCCUGGAUGGACUCUUCUAUUUUCUGGACAUCAAUGGCCGGCUUGGGGUGGUGGACCCGAACAAGGACGAAAUGGAAUGGAACAUCCUUGAAAAGCCGGAUCAACCGAUACGCGGAAGCAAAGAGGUGCAUCCUAGGGAAUAUGAUUAUAACUAUCUGGUGGAGUGGAAGGGGGAGUUGGUCGCCAUUAUCAGAGAGAAUGGCGAUGAUGGGUCUGUUAGAACGUUCAAGCUCGAUCGGUCUCGCAUGGUUUGGUCCGAGUUUGAAGGCAUGGAGGACGCGGCCGUGUUUUGGGAUAGGAGCAAUGCUCUGAUUGCUGUGCCACCUACAGGAGAAGAUUCAUGUAAUAAGAUGUUCCUCCCGAACUAUAGUGAGAUCAAUGGUGGUUGCAGGACGCAGGCGUUCUACUCAUUUCAGGAGCAAUGCUACCGCCCUUCGUUCUAUGCCAAGGAGCCCAUGAACGCCAUAUGGUUCGAGCCAGACUUGGACGUAUACUUACAGUGA
rnacentral:rRNA from 1 species